CGAUCUAGGUGUGGUCAGGAUCCGGCUCAUCCUUUGGAGAGAGAGCACCUGCCCGGGGGCCCCUCUGAGGUGCAUAGUCGUGCAGUGCCCUCACAGGAUGCCCGGUCCUCCGAGAACUUCCUGCCAUUCCCCUGGACCCUCAGAACAGAAACCUGAAAAGAAAAUUCCUUUGCAUUAAGUGCUAUUUCACUGUGUGACAAUCAAUUUUUGAAGAAGUGGCUUCGUUGUGGAAAUGAUGUUAUUGCAGGCACCUAGAAUUUUAUCUCCUUCACUUCUACAAUGGGAAGCAAUUCUCCAACAAGCACAGGAAUCUGACUUUCUGAUAUUGAGACUCCUAGGCAUCAAGCCCCGUGGAAGGGUUGGUGAUUACGUGAGCGUUUGCGUUGGCGUUGAUGUGGGCACCCUCCAAGCCGGACGCAGGGAGCAGGGAAGAGCAGAACAGGCCCCUCAGGAGCCAUGAGACAAUCAAGUGUUGGCAGCAGUGGUGAGGGUUGAUGUCAGGGGCCAGGAGGAGGUGGCGAAGGGAGCAUGUGCCUCAAGGCAGCCCUGGAACCCGCAGUCCCUGUAGUGAGGUCUGGUCUGCAGGGGAUGUGGACGGCCACGUGGCGAGGCCCACAGACAGCCUGGACUUGGCUGCCUCAGAACUCUGGUGGACGUUGCAAACGGCCCCACAGGGUUGCAGUGCAUAUUCCUCGGACAGAGAAAAGACGCUUGAAACUGUUCCCGGCACGAAGCCAGCGCCCUGUGAACAGUGGCUCCUGCUGUCGUGACUGAGUGCCGUCCAACUGGGGGCAGUUGCUCUGCUCAGUUCACUUAAUUGGGCCAGGAAUGGGGUUGCCCUGCCUUCUACAAGCUUGACGCAUUGAACGAGGACUCAGUUGAUAAAGUACUCUGUAAAUAUGCUCUCCCGGCUAGAGUGAGCAUAAGCCCAGGGAGCGAGUGGUUCUUCAGUAUUAGCCAGGUGUUUGUGGUGGGGCCAGCUGUGCGGCUGCCAGAGCGAAUGUGACCAGGAAGCCUCUGUCCCCCCGGAGGUGGCCAGCGUUCCUGUUACACGUGCCGUAGGCAGAAGACAUCCACACGGAAGUUGUCCAGGCGGCUCUGGCCAAACCCAAAGAGCAGAAGAUGGCCGGUGCCUAUGCCUUCCAAACGCAGGUCCCUGGUCGUGCAGACCUCCAUGGACGCCUACACCCCUCCAGGUAAAAAGCUGAGCAAACUGAAAAAUCAGCAGUUCUUCUUAAACCUGCACGAGACCUGAGGUCACAGGCAAGCCACUGUCCGUAGAUUGGCUGGACAGGUAAAGCAGAUGAAUCACCAUACACUGGAGCACAAUGCUCCAAGGAACCCACACUGGGAUUGGAAAACCUGAACUGGAAUUGACAAAUUGCUGCAGUGAGGUGCGGCCACGUCUGAGAGUUAAAACCUCCAGGAGGCCUGUGCAUAUGGGUCUCAUGCUUUUGUGAGUUGUAUCAUCAGAAGCUCAACCAGGUUCGUGAAGUAAACAUCACAGAAAAAUCCCUUCAUACUUACUACAGGGGAAAGAGAAUAGGAAUCAUUUUUCAAUAUGCAGGUGCACUCUUCACUAGGUCUACCUUCCAGAGAAGCUAGUUAACUAGAGACUCACCUGGUGGGAUUUUAUCAGAGCCUUCUGACCUGGGGGAAAGGGAAAUACCCAAUUCCAACCUCUAGAACUGAAAAG